AUGGCAGGGAUUACUUUGACGCUUUUGUUUGUGGUGUUUCCUCUUUACAACACAGAGGAGCAUGUCGUUAAUGGUCUGUACACGCUGAUAGAAAAGGGUCAGAGCAGCUUUGUGGAUCCAGCUCUGAGCAAUCAGAGCAGACUGGUGGUUAAAGAGCCCAACCUGCCCAUCAACGAGCUCCUAGAGAAGAGCAGCAAGAGCAGCGAGUCCAAGUUCAGCCUCCAUCCUCUUCCUUCUGCUGUGUGGCCCAAGCACACCGACCUGGCCCACAUCCCCCGCCACCACAGUCCCCACAGCAAGAGCAAGAAGGGCCCAAAGAGCGACCGUUCGGAGGAGCACAACAGCGAGAAAGCCAGAGGAGAAGUUACUGGUCUGCAUCCCAAAACCCAGCUCACAGCAGCUGCAGGUGCUUCCACCAACCGCACAGUACAGAAACCCAGUCAGGACACUCAGUCCAACAUCAGUCCUCCUCACAACGGCGAGCCAGAGGGACACCCCAACUCCAGACCCAGGGCGCCGCCUCAGACCCAACCUCAGGCUCAGCCACAACAACCAGCUGUUCCCCCGCGCAAAGAUCCCCCAACCGACGCAUGGACCCAGAGGAGAACCGGCCAGGGAAGUCCAGUCUCUAUCAGUCUGGCAUCAGUGCAGCGACCCGGAACAACAGCCGCCCGCCGGUGAUCUUUAACCGGCGCUCCUCCAGCCUGCUUUAUCAGUUUGACAUCAUGCGGCGAGAGUCCGACUUCACACAUGACGCCUUCUGUGUGAGCGAGUGCAGGAAGGAGAAGGACGAGAAGGAGCAUUACUGCUACAGUGAAUUUG
rnacentral:lncRNA from 1 species